AUGGCGUCCGCUUCAACCCGUCACCUCCUCCUCGUCGCCGUCGUUCUCGCCGUGUCGCACUCCGCCCGGGCCAACCCGGUCACCGUCGGGCAGGCGUGCAAGCUGUACGCGAAGCAUGCGUCGUCCUGCACGGAGGCCCUAGCGAAGGCCCCGGGGAUGCCGGUGGCGCCGAUGCCCCUGCCGGUGCUGGCUGAGCUGGCGGUGACCUAUGCGGCAGCGAGCGGCUCCGCGGCGCUGGCGUUCAUCAAGAGGAUGGAGAUGCUCGCCGGCGGGACGAUGCCGCUGGACUGCGUGGAGAAGUGCGUGGAGAAGUUCCAGACGGCGGUGGCGGCGCUGCAGAAGAACAGGGCGGCGAUCAUUGAGCACAGGGACGUGGCCCGCGUGAAGAGGUGGGUGAGGAUGGCGAGGGCGGACGGCGAGACGUGCAUGGACAAGUGCCACAUGAAGGAGGGCGGCGCCGACCCCACCAUCAUCCGCAAGAUCACCGACCUCGGCAAGCUCUGCUCCGUCGCGCUCACCCUCGCCGAUGCCGCCGCCACCCAUGGCUAA
rnacentral:rRNA from 1 species